rnacentral:rRNA from 1 species
CCUACGGGAGGCAGCAGUGAGGAAUAUUGGUCAAUGGGCGGAAGCCUGAACCAGCCAAGUAGCGUGCGGGAUGAAUGCCCUAUGGGUCGUAAACUGCUUUUGUACGGGGAUAACAUCUUCCACUUGUGGGGUUUUGUAUGUACCGUAUGAAUAAGGGUCGGCUAAUUCCGUGCCAGCAGCCGCGGUAAUACGGAGGGUCCGAGCGUUAUCCGGAUUUAUUGGGUUUAAAGGGAGCGUAGGGGGGGUGUUAAGUCAGGUGGUAAAGUUUGCGGCCCAACCGGACAAUGGCAGUUGAAACUGGCAGUCUUGAGUACAGUAGAGGUGGGCGGAAUUCGUGGUGUAGCGGUGAAAUGCUUAGAUAUCACGAAGAACUCCGAUUGCGAAGGCAGCUCACUGGACUGCAACUGACACUGAGGCUCGAAAGUGUGGGUAUCAAACAGGAUUAGAUACCCUGGUAGUC